rnacentral:rRNA from 1 species
AACGCGAAGAACCUUACCUGGUCUUGACAUCCACAGAACUUAGCAGAGAUGCUUUGGUGCCUUCGGGAACUGUGAGACAGGUGCUGCAUGGCUGUCGUCAGCUCGUGUUGUGAAAUGUUGGGUUAAGUCCCGCAACGAGCGCAACCCUUAUCCUUUGUUGCCAGCGGUUAGGCCGGGAACUCAAAGGAGACUGCCAGUGAUAAACUGGAGGAAGGUGGGGAUGACGUCAAGUCAUCAUGGCCCUUACGACCAGGGCUACACACGUGCUACAAUGGCAUAUGCAAAGAGAAGCGACCUCGCGAGAGCAAGCGGACCUCAUAAAGUAUGUCGUAGUCCGGAUUGGAGUCUGCAACUCGACUCCAUGAAGUCGGAAUCGCUAGUAAUCGUAGAUCAGAAUGCUACGGUGAAUACGUUCCCGGGUCUUGUACACACCG